rnacentral:rRNA from 1 species
AACGAACGCUGGCGGCAUGCCUAACACAUGCCAGUCGAACGAGACCUUCGGGUCUAGUGGCGCACGGGUGCGUAACGCGUGGGAACCUGCCCUUAGGUUCGGAACAACUCCCCGAAAGGGGUGCUAAUACCGGAUAAUGUCUUCGGACCAAAGAUUUAUCGCCUUUGGAUGGGCCCGCGUUGGAUUAGCUAGUUGGUAGGGUAAAAGCCUACCAAGGCGACGAUCCAUAGCUGGUCUGAGAGGAUGAUCAGCCACACUGGGACUGAGACACGGCCCAGACUCCUACGGGAGGCAGCAGUGGGGAAUAUUGGACAAUGGGCGAAAGCCUGAUCCAGCAAUGCCGCGUGAGUGAUGAAGGCCUUAGGGUUGUAAAGCUCUUUUACCCGGGAUGAUAAUGACAGUACCGGGAGAAUAAGCUCCGGCUAACUCCGUG